UACGUAGGGGGCGAGCGUUGUCCGGAAUGAUUGGGCGUAAAGGGCGCGUAGGCGGCCUGUCAAGUCAGUAGUGGAAGUCCAUUUUUUCAAGGAUGGAAGUGCUACAGAAACUGAUGGGCUUGAGUGCAGGAGAGGUUAUCUGAAUUCCCGGUGUAGCGGUGAAAUGCUUAGAGAUCGGGAUGAACACCAGUGGCGAAGGCGGGUAACUGGACUCUAACUGACGCUGAGGCUCGAAAGCGUGGGGAGCAAACAGGAUUAGAUACCCU
rnacentral:rRNA from 1 species